rnacentral:rRNA from 1 species
GACGAACGCUGGCGGCGUGCUUAACACAUGCAAGUCGAACGGAAAGGCCUGCUUUCCCUUGUGGCUUGCGGGUACUCGAGUGGCGAACGGGUGAGUAACACGUGAGUGAUCUGCCCCCAACUUGGGUAUAAGCCUGGGAAACUGGGUCUAAUUCCCGAUAGGACUGCAGGGUGGUGCCUGUGGUGGAAAACGAUGGUCGAGUGGUUGGGGAUGAGCUCGCGGCCUAUCAGCUUGUUGGUGGGGUAUUGGCCUACCAAGGCGGCGAUGCAUAGCCGGGCGGAGAGGAGGAGCAGCCAGGAUGGAACUGAGACACGGACCAGACUCCGACGGGAGGCAGGAGUGGGGAAUAUUGGGCGAGGGGCGAAAGCCUGAUCCAGCAAUGCCGCGUGAGUGAUGAAGGGGUUAGGGUUGUAAAGCUCUUUUAACCGGGAUGAUAAUGACAGUACCGGGAGAAUAAGCUCCGGCUAACUCCGUG